AGUGACCUCGAUCAGGUAGGGAUACCCGU
rnacentral:rRNA from 1 species